rnacentral:tRNA from 1 species
GCCCCCUUCGUCUAGUGGCCCAGGACACAGGGUUCUCAGUCCUGUAACAAGGGUUCGAUUCCCUUAGGGGGUA